rnacentral:rRNA from 1 species
CAUUAUUGAAAUAAACCUGAUGGGUUGUUGCUGGUUCUCUAGGGAGCAUGUGCACGCCUUGUCAUCUUUAUAUCUCCACCUGUGCACCUUUUGUAGACCACGGAUAUUUUUUCCAUGGUCUAUGUUGCUUCUUCAUAUACCCCAAUGUAUGUCAAUAGAAUGUUUGUGCCUAUAAAAUAUAUACAACUUUCAGCAACGGAUCUCUUGGCUCUCGCAUCGAUGAAGAACGCAGCGAAAUGCGAUAAGUAAUGUGAAUUGCAGAAUUCAGUGAAUCAUCGAAUCUUUGAACGCACCUUGCGCUCCUUGGUAUUCCGAGGAGCAUGCCUGUUUGAGUGUCAUUAAUAUAUAUCAACCUCUCCUUGUUGAGUGGUUUGGAUGUGGGGGGUUUUGCUGGCCUCUUGAAAGGGUCAGCUCCCCUGAAAUGCAUUAGCAGAACCAACCUGUUCAUUGGUGUGAUAACUAUCUACGCUAUUGAACGGUGAAGGCAGUUCAGCUUUCUAACCGUCCUUGGACAAUUUAUCAUUUAUGUGACCUCAAAUCAGGUAGGACUACCCGCUGAACUUAAGCAUAUCAAUA